rnacentral:rRNA from 1 species
GGGGGGGGGGGGGGGGGGGGGGGGGGCGGGCGGGUGGAGCGGAGAGGGGGGGAGGUUGCUCGUCGGACGGUAGCGGCGUGCGGGUGCGGAGCGCGUGGCUGACCUCCCUCUAGGACUGGGUUAACUUCGGGAAACCGGCGCUGCUUCCGGGUACUGUAUUGCACCGCAUGGUUCACUCGGUACCGACGGCGUUUCUUGCCCUGUUAGAUGUAUCCGGGCCGCAUUAUCUUGUUGGUACGUGAACGGCUUACCCGGGAAACUCUGCGUCGCGGACCUGAGCGGGUGAUCGGCCAAACUGAAACUGAGACACGGUCCAGAGUCCUACGGGAGGAAGCAGUAGGGAAUAUUCCGCAAUGGGCGAAAGCCUGACGGAGCAACGCCGCGUGAGUGAUGAAGGUCUUCGGAUCGUAAAACUCUGUUAUUAGGGAAGAACAAAUGUGUAAGUAACUAUGCACGUCUUGACGGUACCUAAUCAGAAAGCCACGGCUAACUACGUG